ACCAAAGAAGAAGAAUGUGUAUUUAGAACAAGAGGAAUAUACUGAAGAAGCAGCUGUGUCUAAAAGGAGACCAUCAAGGUCCAAAAACAUUGGACAGAGGAUAGAAUGGUCUGAAAAGGAGAUAGGAAUAUGAAUGUUAAGGUAAACAGCACAGAGAAAAACAGCUUUUCGUAGAAAAUAAAGAUGAUAAAUGCAAAUAUAUGUCAGUGAUAAAAAUGAAUCUAAGGAGAAAAUAAAAAGAACCUGAACAAAUUAGUGAAACUCUGAAUUAUCAGGAAAAGCAUUUUAAAGCUGUGGAAUUGUUUACAUGUAGAAAAGAAUUAAGGCUUGCAUAGCAAAAAUAAUCACCUGAUAAAUAAUAAACAGGAUCUUACUGUUUUUGUCCAUACUUUGUUUCAGAGCAAGAGCUUAAAGGUGUCAUUUUGAGCAAAGAAGUAUGGAGAUUAUCUCCUGAAAACCUUUAUUAUAAAUGUAAUCACUAAUGAUUGACAUCUCCUCAGGAUACCUGAAGCCGUUUUUAUCCCAGUUUUAUUCAAAGACCUUUAGUGUCAAACGUGUUAUUGUAAUAAGAACUUCCUAACUACCUAGACUGUGUCAACUACAAUUUUCUUCUCAUCACCACUGUAUAUUGCUGAUUAUGCCACUAAAUAACGCUGUAUUGAUUGCACUUGUGCUUGUUUUUGUUCAGUUUUGUGGACAAAGACUUAGACGAGUGCAGAAAAUAAAUCCUCUUUUGCAACCCAGAACUCAUGGCUCAAUAUGAGUUUUGAUACAUGUAAGAAGGAACAAGAUCCCUACAACCAACUAAAGUGAUGGUGGGGGGUUUGAUAAACUUGAAAGUUGGUUUCAGGACUGUAGAAUGACUAAAGCACAAGACAAAAGGGAAUUCUCAACUAUGGUGAGUUAGUAUUAUGAUUUUAAUGUUGAUAUAAAACAAAGAUGCCUUCUUGUUGUAGGCUUUUCAUUUGAGAGCACAAUGUCUGGACUUAAAGGUAUUGGAGUAUCCCAAGAAUCUGUAUAGUUCAGGGCGUGCUAGUUUAGGGGUGAAUAUGAUUUGAACUCAUUUAUGUUUAGAGGGUGUUUGAAAUUGAGAACCAGGGGUCCAUGUAGUCUGACCCUAAACAUGGCCCUAAAGUAAAAAAAAAAACUGGAUCCCAAAGAUUGCAGGUGGGGAAUUCCUGAAGUAUGUCCAUAUUCAAGUGGAGAUUAAAGAAGCCCAAGGGAAAGAACUCUGGCAAGAUAGGACUGAUGGUGACAACUGUGGAUUGAACAAAAGCUCCUUUUAAAAGGGCUAUUUUGAAGAAUGUGAUUCUGACUCGGAGGAACGACGGUGCUUGGGAGUGGAAGGAAUCCCGUGUUAAAAUUCUUAAAUAAAAAUUUAUUGACUUUAAA